UUCUCCUCGCACUGUCAGAGAGGCUGCAUGGGGGGUGAUGGUAGGACCUCCUCCCACUCCUCCAGCUGGGUGUCCCGCAGCCUGCACUGGGUUACCGCGUGCGUGACGUCACCGCCCUUUCCCCCCCUCAUUCAUGAGCUAUUGAUACACUUAACAUUAACUUCUGACUGCACCAGAGCACUUUGAUUUCAGAAUACAUUCAGGAGUAGAUACAACACAACGAAAUUGGUUUGAAGCUAAAAGAUUCCUGCAGUAAUUGUUGGUUUUCUUUACUUCACCAAAUUACAGGAAAUGUAGUGUCAAAAACUGAAAUUUUUACGCACUUUUUUAAGGUUCUGAUACUAUUUAAUCAUCUACCUGCAACAAUUUCUGUAGAUUUUUAGAUACCUUAGCUAGUAUAUUUAAUUUAUCUGGUUAGUUUUGGUCAGUUCCAUUACAAAAACACGCUACCUAUGACCUAAAACUAACAAUUUUCUACUUCUUUUUAUAUUUCAAAUUAAAGAUUGGGUUGUAAGAAGAACAAAAGUACUAUACAGCGAUCAGUAUUUUAAUGAACUACUUUUAAAAAGAUGACUAUAAACUUACCCUGGCUGUUUGGCGCUAUCAGGUGCGUGCGCGCGCGCAGGUUCAGCGGCGGCCAGAGGCACGCGCCGCCGUACCCGCAGAUUAUUGGUGGAUUCUCCCAUGAUGCCGGCGUCUUUUAAAGCGCGAGCUGACGGAGAGACAUAAAAAGCCCUGCGAUGGAUGCGCGCGGUGCUCCCAGUGAGCCGACUGGCGACAUGUGAAAUGUCCUCGGGCGUUUUCGGUGGCUUUUAUGCGCUGCUUCCUGUGGAACGCAGGAAUUGGAUGUACAAUCCCAAACCGGAAUUCCUGCCCAUCCGUCUUCCUAGAGAGGCUGUCAGUGUUCCUGCAGGAACUUAUCAGCUUGAAAAAUGACCCAAAUCUCAGCUGAAACGGCGCCGCUGGAGGCUACCGGCCUCCAAGGUGAGCGCCAUCGGUUCUAUGUGGCUCUCCUCACAGUCCUGCUGCAUGCUGGGAUAUUUGCGAUGGUGCACAAGAACGUGUUUCUGAAUUUAUUCUCAAAAGUUACAGAUGCUUAAUUGCAGUCUGAGGAUGAAAUAAAGACCUGCUGCUGAAGGACAUUAUAGGCAAGUUUUUGAAACAUCAAAUUAAAGUGGCAGAGCUGAAUAACUUUAUGUCCAGAGUGGAACAAACCAGUUAUAUGUGAAUAUGUUUAUUUUUGCUGAUUAGAUAGCCUAGAAUGAGUUCCAAAGAUCCAUUUUAGCCCAACAACUGAGUCAUUUUGCAUCAUACAAAACCUUUAGAGUUAAAUUAAGGCAGCGUGACUAUUCAAUUAUUUUUAUUGUAUUAAAUGUUCUUUUCACAUUAAUGCAAACCUGUCCAUUGUUAACAGUCUGUGUGCAUUUUUAAAAAAUCGUGUCUGUGAUUUAUUUGUUUAGUAAUGUUUAUAUUGCUGAAUGGACAAUUGUUGAAUUUAAAUUGGACCCAUAAUAUAAAAUGUCUUUUUUGUGGUUUUCCAGGU
rnacentral:lncRNA from 1 species